GAAGUACGUCAAUGAAAACGCGACGGUCUUUUACUUCUUCUUUUCCAAUUCGCGGGCCCCACUGACACGUGCCGUCCCGCGAUUUAUUUCUUUUUAAAAAAAAAAAUCUAAAAAUUAAAAAAAAAAAAAAAAAAACUAGAGUGAGGGACGAAUAACGGAUGCCCACGCUCUUAGAAGAUCCUAGCUUUUUUGCUCUGCCUUAGAUUAUCCUGUAUGAUCCAUCCACUUGUGAGUACUUAUUUAGUAUGGACGUGAUUAUCCUGC
rnacentral:lncRNA from 1 species